AAAUUGAUUCUCAUUAAACCCUAAACGCCGUUUCUUCUUUCUCUGUACAGAGAGCGCGCGAUUCCUAUGUUACUCAUCCCUCCCCUUUCACGGCGGCCGCCGGCCAGUGCAAUUUCUUUUGUAACUUACUUCCUCCCUUUCAUGGCGGCCACCGACGACGGCUACAACACCCAUUAUACAACCAGUUGUGAAGAAAAGUGAUAUCAUAUAUUGCUCUUACCUCUUAAAUUUUCAGAUCUGGAUUUUACUUUCACUCUCAGCCCCAACCUUUCUAGUUCUCACUUUCAGAGUUGCUUAUUCAAGUAUAAUCGUCUCCCGUCAUAAGAUUAGAAACAUAGAUGAUCCUCAAGAUCUCCAAGAUGACAAUGAGCUUCAUUAUGAUCAAGAAGACGAUGAUCUUCAAUAUGAUCAAGAUGACGAUUCUCUCGAUGAUGAUUAUCGUGAAUCUUAACACAAUGAAUGUGAUGAAGACGAUCGUUGAUUCAAAUAUGGACGAUUAUGUUUUGUUUUAUGGAGUUACUUAAGCCAACUAAGUAUAUAUUUUAUAUUACAUGGAUUUAUUUUGAAGAUAUUUUUAUUACACUUCAUCUUAUUAAUACUUCAUAUUGAUAUAUUUUCAAAUUAUAAAUUUGUUUAUUCUCAUUUAAUUAAUACUAUUGACAAAUAAUUGAUUAGAAUAAUGUGAAGGUAUAUCAUAGCAAAUGUAUGACCAUGUAAAUGAAUAGGAAAUUAAAUACUUAUUAUAUAUUUAAAAUUAAAUACCAAUAUAUGUGAGUUGUUUUUCAAUCUAUAGGC